rnacentral:rRNA from 1 species
CCUACGGGAGGCAGCAGUGGGGAAUAUUGGACAAUGGGCGCAAGCCUGAUCCAGCCAUGCCGCGUGAGUGAUGAAGGCCUUAGGGUUGUAAAGCUCUUUUGCCAGGGAAGAUAAUGACUGUACCUGGAGAAUAAGCCCCGGCUAACUUCGUGCCAGCAGCCGCGGUAAUACGAAGGGGGCUAGCGUUGUUCGGAAUCACUGGGCGUAAAGCGCACGUAGGCGGACUUUUAAGUCAGGGGUGAAAGCCUGAGGCUCAACCUCAGAACUGCCCUUGAUACUGGGAGUCUUGAGUAUGGUAGAGGUUGGUGGAACAGCAAGUGUAGAGGUGAAAUUCGUAGAUAUUUGCUAGAACACCAGUGGCGAAGGCGGCCAACUGGACCAUAACUGACGCUGAGGUGCGAAAGCGUGGGGAGCAAACAGGAUUAGAUACCCUGGUAGUCCACGCCGUAAACGAUGGAUGCUAGCCGUUAGCCAGCUUGCUGGGUAGUGGCGCAGGUAACCCUUUAAGCAUCCCGCCUGGGGAGUACGGUCGCAAGNUUAAAACUCAAAUGAAUUGACGGNNGAGAGNGCGAGCGACGACGAGGAGAG